GGCGCUGGGUGGGGCUCCUGGUGGAGGCCUUGCUGCUGGUCAGGUCGGAGGCUGUGGAGCGGGGACCACUGACCGUGUCUGUGAGGUCUCCAUCUGGGAGGACAAGGAAGCAGGAGACACCCUGUCAGGCACCCCCCGGGGUCCCCGACCCCCAGAGCAUGCGUUAGCCCAGGAGGGAGGCAGGCUGGCCAGUUCCUCCCAGGGAAACCUGACAGGGGUGGCCCCAUUUCGAGUAGAAGCCACAACCUAACAGGACAUGGGGUUUUGUACUUUAGGAGCAACUUGGAAGGAACACCAUCUCCACCACCCCUGGGGCCUCCGGAGCUCACAACAAUUUGGCUGAGUUUGUGUUAAGGGCCCCCGCGGUGAAGCAGCCUCCAGGCUCAAGCUCCAGGCUUAAGUCCCAUAGGAAUGGUGACUUCGAGGCCUCCAUGGGUGGCUGGGAGCCCUAGAGAGGAGCCAGGCUGCACGCCUCUUAGGUUACCCUCAGAGCCUUCCUGCCAGGACGCUACAGGGGUACCCAGCAGCCCCGUUAGCCCCAUACCCCACUUGUAGGGCUGAGAGGUGCCCAAAGUCCUCUGAAGGGUCCCUUGCAGAGGUAAAAGGAACACAAAGGGAGAAGAAUGGAGGAAGACAGCAGAGAAAGUGAGGGGUGCAGAGUGGGGGCAGAGGCUAGGAGACAGGAUGGGAGCCCAAGGGGUGGGAACCAUGGGGCAGAGGGAAAUGCCCAGAGCACAGAGUAGAGACAAGAUGACAGAGCAGGGCAAUGAGAGCAAGGUGCGAAGGGGCAAAGACAGGGGUCCGAGAGGCCGCCCCCCAGGCUGCUUCUCCCCAGCACCCCUGACCCUACACACUCCUCGGGGGCAGGACCAGGUGCCCCUGCAAGGGUGGUGCUGAGAACUCCAUUUCUUUCUUUUUUUUUUUUUUUGAGACGGAGUCUCUCUCUGUCGCCAGGCUGAAGCGCAGUGGCGCGAGCCCGGCUCACUACAACCUCCAACUCCCGGGUUCAAGUGAUUCUCCUGCCUUAGCCUCCCGAGUAGCUAGGAUUACAGGCAUGCGCCACCAUGCCCAGCUAAUUUUUGUAUUUUUAGUAGAGCUGGGGUUUCACCAUGUUGGCCAGGAUGGUCUCGAUCUCCUGACCUCGUGAUCUGCCCGCCUCGGCCUCCCAAAAUGCUGGGAUUACAGGCGUGAGCCACCGUGCCCGGCCGAGAACUCCAUUUCAUUCAAGUGUCAGCUCACUGACUGGUCCUUUCUGACUCAUACCCUGACACGGCCCCCGAGAGGGGAGCUGGCUUGGACAUCCCGCCCCACCCAGCCAUCUGCCCCUGGUUACUGGAACAGGGCAGGAGAGGGAGCACGGGCAGGUGAAGCACACAGCCCAUACGGCCAGUGGCAGAUGGGAGCCACCCAAGCAGAGAGCUGAGGCCCAGCUGGUGAAACUGCCUGGGUGAGGGUCAAUGGCAAGGGCCAUGGCUGGUCGUGCUCUAUUUGCCGGCCAAUGCUCAUCUUGCUGGCCGCUGUCUGCCCGGAAGAAAAGAGGCAAACAUGCACCCCACAGCCCCACUGGGGGCCCAACCAGCUGUCAACUUAGUGCCCUUGGAAGCCACAGGGCAGCUGUCUGCUGAUGCAGCACACCGUCCUUUUUUUUUUUUUUUUUUUUUUUUUGAGACAGGGUCUCGCUGUGUCGCUCGGACUGGAGCGCAGUGGCGCAAUCACAGCUCACUGUAGCCUCGACCUCCUGGGUUCAAGUGAUCCUCCUGCCCUGCCUCAGCCCACAGAGUAGCUGGGACUAUAGGCGUGCACCACCAAGCCUGGCUAAUUUUUAUAUUUUUAGUAGAGACGGGGUCCCCCUGUGUUGCCCAGGUUGGUCUCAAACUCCUGGGCUCAGGCGAUCCUCCAGCCUCAGCCUCUCAAAGUGCUGGGAUUACAGGUGUGAGCCUGGCCCUUUUUUUUUUUUUUUAAGUCUGCUGUCUUUUAAUAUAAGGACAAAAGAGGAGGCUAAAGGCAAUGAGUAGCUCUGCCAGAAAAGACCAGCAACAUCGGGGACUUUUUCCAGAUUUCCGGGGAUCUCAGAGCCUAAGUUCUAAGAUACAGAAAACCGCGUCUCUCGGUCCCAAAGCAGGCUCCUGCCAAGCCCAUGUGUUCUUGCUCCGGCUCCUGUGAUUCUCCUCAGCACACGCAGUUGCACCCAAGAGGAGCCCUGAGAGGUGAGUGGGCAGAUCAUGAGAUGUGGUGGGUGUCAAGGCCCGCAUGCCCACCAGCUCUGUAAAUAAGCCAAAGACCAGGGGAAGGCCACCCCAGGCUCAGAGUUUGGAGCUGCCCCAAGUCCUGCCUUCCUCCAGGUCCAAGGAGAAGACAGAGCCUCCCCGGGUGAGCUGCCAGAGUGAGCUCAGGAAUCCUGCUCCAGGAACUCCAGAAAUCUCACCCUGCCCUGAGGCAAGCAGUGCAACUGGGCUGUUAGUUCUCAGGCCGCAGGGAGCUCUGAAAGGCUGUAGAGGAAGGUCAGGCCCUGCUUGUCAAGUGACUGCAGCAGGCGUGUCAGGAGGGGGGUUAGUUGUUAGAAUCGGAGGGAAAAAAAAACAAUAUCCAGCAUGUGUGCUGCAAGAAGAGGGGCUAAGAGGGUACAUGAUGUUAUGAUGGAAUUCUGGAAUCCAAGCUAAUUUAACUCAAACAGGGGACCCUUCAAUGCUACUCUUGGCCAAGUGUCAUAGUUUAUUUUUCCCAAUGCCACAUCUUAUUUCUCACAGAGUUAAGGUAUUUCAUACUCACAUUAUCUGGGAACGGAUCACCUGUCACCCAUUACUCAGCAAUCACGUCUCUAAUAAUGCGGGGAGAGCCACGUGCCCCUCAUCCUCAGGGUGUGGCAGUUCUCACCUCCCCUGUUCAGAGGCCAGGUUCCCUCACCUCCCCUGUUCCAGGCUGGAAGUGGCCCAGAGGGUAGGAGGCUCUUUAAUAACAGGGAUUUGGACCAGGUGCAGUGGUUCAUGCCUGUAAUCCCACACUUUGAGAGGAUGAGGUGGGGUGGAUCACCUGAGGUCAGGAGUUUGAGACCAGCCUGGCCAACAUGGUGAAACCCUGUCUCUACUAAAAAUACAAAAAUUAGCCGGGCGUGGUGGCACACACCUGUAAUCCCAGCUACUUGGGAGGCUGAGGCAGGAGAAUUGCUUGAACCCGGGAGGUGGAGGUUACAGUAAGCCAAGAUCACACCACUGCACUCCAGCCUGAGCAACAGAGCGAGACUCCGUCUCAAAAAGUAAAAUAAAAUAACAUAAAGUAAAAUAACAGGGAUCUGCUAUGGCCUCAGAUUUAAGGGGGAAACAUUCACCUUAUUGGCAACAUAGCCUUUGCUUUGAGUAAUCGUGGCAACCUGGGAAUAGCUUUGUGAAUUUAUGAAGUGGAAUUUCAGGCAGAAAAAUGCCCAGGCACUGCUACUGCCCAGCAGACAGGGUGGGAGGGCUGGCAGAUUUCCUUUUAAUCUGCUUUAAAGCUUCAAAGAGAUUCUGUCUGUAGGAAGUUUCAGCUGUACCUGGGCAGUUUCCUGACUUGGACCUCAACCACUCCAAAACACCCAAGAGGAAGCCAUUAGGAACAGACUGAAAGAAUCAAGCUCUUUCUCUUCGAUGCUCAUCUGACCCGCAGGAGCUUACAACCCGCAUGUUUAAAGGCAUGGUUUUCCAGAACAAGUCUUGGUUCACUGGGUCAGGCCCUACACACCCCGAGAGCAUCAGCUGGCACUGGAAUCAGGAAGGGUGACCCUGUAUCCCCCGAAAUGCAGCCACUUAGUGACUCCGAAAGGCCACUGAGCAAAGGCAGGAGCCCUGCACUGGGAGAAGGGAUUUGCCUAUGGCUAGAGGUUGAGUUUUCCCACUGCAGAAUUCCAUCUAUUAGAACACCAAACUUGGCUUUAUUAUGAUUAUGGAUAUUAUUAUAAAUAAUAAGGAGCUGAUUUGAUACAUGCAGCAAGCUUGGCAUGGAAACAUUGCAAAACAGGAAAAGAGGGUAACAGCGGACUCUGGCCCACCUUCCCAGUCUGUGCUGGGUACAGACGGCACUGCUGGAAACACAUCUCCAAAAUCAUAAUCUACAAAAACGAGGGACAAAACUGAAGAUUAGAAACACAGGCAGUGGAAGGAUGACUGGAGGGAGGGGAGGGGAAAUGGGGUGGGAGACAUGGGGAGAAAAUAGGAGAGGAAAACUUCAACUUUCUACAUUGUAUCCAACAACCUUGGGGAAACUUACUAGGGCCCUGACUGCCUCUCAGCUCAGGCGCUGGCCCAGGAGCCUCCAACCAGCUGGAAAGACCUGUCAGGGUGACCCCUUUCCACAUCCAGAAGCUGGUUCUGGCAGAGAGAAGCCUGGCUGCCUGUGCCUAGCUUUGUUUUCUACCUCUUACGUGCCUUCCCUCCAUACCCUAGCAGGGCAAGGAGACACUGCCCUGGCAGCUGCAGUUGCACAAUCUCCAAAUUGCUGAGGGGACACCUCCAUCCAUGGAUCCAUCCUUGCCCUGGCUCUUCCGGCAAGGCCCACCCCUCCAACUCCUCUAAGGUGGCCCAUGGGCCCAACCUAAGGAGACUGUGCCGCCUUCUUCAGCUUGCACGGUCAGCAAUGCAGGUCUUGCUAACAGCAAGUUUGAGAGGGACCUCCCUUCCUGGGACAUAUAACCCGUGGUACAGCAGAAAUAAAGAAAGGGGAAGGUCAAGGUCUCAAUGCUGAGGCAAUUCUAGGGUGCCCCAGGGCUAAAUUGGGGCUGGGAUCCCCUUCCCUGGAGGUGAGGUGGUGGGGUGAAGUAAAUGAAGGGCUCUGGUCUCCUACAGGAGAUAAAGAGGGGAAAAUGGCCAGUUUUAUCCAUGAACACCAGGGCCUAAGGUUUGAAAGAAACCAGGCUGUUCCAGUAAAUCAUUGGGUCAAGACAACAAAAUGACCUGCAGCUUCUUCCUCGGUCCCUGAUGCAAAGGGUGCGACCAUCCCAAACACAUCAGCGAGCGCAGAAGGAACUCAGAGAAAUCGGACGGACACACAGGACACAGUGGCAAGGUUUCCCUGCGCUUCAGACCUGCCUGGUUCUCUCUUCUUCUAGGGGUUGCUUAACCUCCUUCUGCAAAGAAUGUGGGGUCAGACAAGCUCCCCAGAACAGGCAACACUCAACCCUGCGACAAGGUUUCCAGGUCCCACUGCUAAACCUUCCUUGCUUAGAAAACUGCCACAGGCAUGUGACUAGAACCUUCUGGAAAAGGGUCUAACCUUAAAAAAUAUAUAUUUUAUAUAUAUAUAUAUAUAUAUAAUUUCAGCUUUUUGUGCCCAGAAUCCACUUUUUAGCCACCACAGGGACUCUGAGGAGAUGAAGAUCUGGGAAAUGGCCAGCCCUGUUUAAUUGCAAAUUUCAGCCACCAGACCAAAACUAGCCAAGGAAGACAUCACCCAGCCAGGCUUAAGCAGUUCAAGUCUGUUUCACAACAGGGGCUUAGCUUUUCUGCCCUGGGGCCACUCACCCUCACUAGAUGGGGCAAUCGCACUGUCAUCCCACUCCAGGUUGGUGGAGGUGACGGAGUUGAAAGAGUUGAGGGACAGACUGUCUGAGCCGUGGACCGAGCUGGGAAGGCGGUCUUCAAAGUCCAGCAGGUACUGAGGUUUGUAGUAGUCGGGCAUGUAGGGGGCCAGGUCUAGGUAAGGGGCAUCCUGAGGAGAGAGUAGAGGAGGCCCGUUUGGUGGGAGGCCUCGUGCAGCGGCCUUCUGCAGACAGCAGGAUCCAGGCCUGGGAGACACAGAUGUGCCUCUUUGGGAAAUCAAUGGCUUAAGGUAGUAAAUUCAAAGAAAAGCUGCUAAGAAGAGCAAUGUGAAUAGUGUUGGCUUUUAAAGCUGUGGACUUCAGGCUGAUGGAAGACAGAGCUGUCAGAACUCAGCUACACCCUUUGAUGCCCCCGCUAUCUCUCUCUCUCUCUAUUUAUUUAUUUUUUUUUUUGAGACAGAGUCUCACUCUGUUGCCCUGGCUGGAGUGCAAUGACGUGGCUCGGCUCACUGCAACUUCCACCUCCCGGGUUCGAGCGAUUCUCCUGCCUCAGCCUCCCAAGUAGCUGAGAUUAUAGGCGCCCAUCACCACACCCCGCUAACUUUUGUAUUUUUUUAGUAGAGACGAGGUUUCGCCAUGUUGGCCAGGCUGGUCUCGAACUCCUGACCUCAGGUGAUCCACCCACCUCAGCCUCCCAAAGUGCUGGGAUUAUAGGUGUGAGCCACUGCGCCUGGCCCAAGGAAGGUCAUUUGAUUAGGACGGGGCAGCUGCAUCCAUUUUGAGCCCAGUCCAAGAGGUGCCUGGGAGCCUCUUUGGCUCUAUGUGGGCCAGCAUCCCAUUUGUACAGGGUGUGAUGGGGAGAGAAACUUGAGAACUUGAAGAGGGUGGCUGAAGGCUCUUCAUGGAGCUGAUGACACUUUUCAGAACCCCAGAAGCACCAGGCUGAAACUGCCUUGUCCUUCUAACUCUUCACAUCCUAAACAUGAAGGCCAGUUCUUCUGGGCUAAGAUACUCCAGGCAAUGUGGCUUUUCUCCAAGUUGGAUAGGGAGAUAGGAAAAAGUCACCUGAACCAGGAAUUCUUGCCAUCACUUCUCUUCUCACUCAAUUCGAUGGACCCUGAAACCUUUCCCUCGCCCAAAAAAACAAGUUUUGCUCAAGCCCAGUCAUACUCAACAAGCUCCCUCAACAAGACCUGAG
rnacentral:lncRNA from 1 species